GACGAACCGUGCAAACGUUGUUCGGAAUCACUGGGCUUAAAGGGCGCGUAGGCGGGGUCGUAAGUCUGUGGUGAAAUCCGUCGGCUCAACCGGCGAAUGGCCGUGGAUACUGCGACCCUCGAGGGGUGUAGGGGCAUGCGGAACUCAGGGUGGAGCGGUGAAAUGCGUAGAGAUCCUGAGGAACGCCGGUGGCGAAAGCGGCGUGCUGGACACCUUCUGACGCUGAGGCGCGAAAGCCAGGGGAGCAAACGGGG
rnacentral:rRNA from 1 species